rnacentral:rRNA from 1 species
GUUCUCUGGAUGAGUUGCGAACGCGUGAGUAACCCGUAUGUAUCCUGCCUGGUAACGGGGGAUAUCUAUUCCGGACGAUAGAUAUUACCGCAUAUAAGAUAUUGUUGCGUGUGAUUUGCUUAUGAAAUGCAAUUGCAUCACUACUUAAUGGACCUGCCUUGCAUUAUUUACUUGGUGGGGUAGCGGCUCACCACCGCGACGAUACAUAGCCGACCUGAUAGGGUGAUCGUCCACACUGCUACUGAUACACCGCCCACACUCCUACGGCAGGCGGCAGUAGGGAAUCUUCUGCAAUGGAGGGAAAUCUGACCGAGCAACGCCGCGUGAGUGAAGAAGGUUUUCUGAUCAUAAAGCUCUGCUGUAAUAAAAGAACGACUGUGAGAUUGGAAAGUUCACACUGUGACGCUAUCUUACCACAAAGGGACGGCUAACUACAUGCCACCACCCCCGCGAAAAUACAUGUCCCGAGCGCUGUCCGGAUUUAUUGUGGGUAAAGCGAGCGCAGGCGGUUAUUUUUAACUGAGAUGAGAGGCUGUGGCUUUCCAUAGUACGCGUUGUAGACUGUUUAACUUGAUUGCAAGAGGGGAAAGAGGAUUCCUUGUGUAGCGG